UGUCUCUGUGUCCUCACCUGUGCAGUUAGACUCUUCAGCUGCUGGUUUAAGCUGCUCAGCUGCUCUUCAGCUUCUCCCUGCAGCUCGCUGCCGUUCAGCCACACAUACCAAAACUGCAAAGAAAUAAAACCACAGACACCUUUUUGUGAGAUCAUCCUGUUGUUGUUACCUGCAAGCUGUGCUGCAGCACCACCCGUCUGAGGGGGUCCAGGAUUUGCCAGGAGGUUAAAACAAACACAUCUAGCAGGACCAUCCAGAGCACCACACAGCCGGCUCGCUGCAGACGAGUCUGCUGCUGGAGACACAAACAAACAACAUUUACUUCCCACCGUCUGAACUCACAGAGCAGAGGAGCUCAGAUGUCUGGUCGGACAGCGAGGCUCCGUCCAGACCGGAGAUCAGGACUGAGGAUGAGGAGAGCAGGAUGCCCAGCAGCAGCAGCAGCUCGUCCUGGGAUCCACCGCUCC